rnacentral:rRNA from 1 species
GACGAACGCUGGCGGCGUGCUUAACACAUGCAAGUCGAACGGGCCUGUCUUCUUUUUUGGGGGGUGGGUUGAGUGGCGAACGGGUGAGUAUCACGUGAGUAACCUGCCCUUCGGUCCUGGAUAACCGCUUGAAAGGGCGGCUAAUACGGGGUGGUCCGGUUGGUCCGCAUGGGCUGGUCGGGAUAGAUUCACUGUUUUUGGUGUUUCGGCGGGGGAUGGGCCCGCGGCCUAUCAGCUUGUUGGUGGGGUGAUGGCCUACCAAGGCGGCGACGGGUAGCCGGCCUGAGAGGGUGGGCGGCCACACUGGGACUGAGAUACGGCCCAGACUGCUGCGGGAGGCAGCGGUGGGGGGUAUUGCACAAUGGGCGGAAGCCUGAUGCAGCGACGUCGCGUGAGGGAUGGAGGCCUUCGGGUUGUGAACCUCUGUUUCCGGUGGUGAAGGCCCUGUCCGUGUGGUGGGGUUGACGGUAGCCGGGGAUGAAGCGCCGGCUAACUACGUG